rnacentral:rRNA from 1 species
AAAAACACAGGUCCGUGCGAAGUCGUAAGACGAGGUAUACGGACUGACGCCUGCCCGGUGCUGGAAGGUUAAGAGGACCGGUCAGCGGAGCGAUCCGCGAAGCUGAGAAUUUAAGCCCCAGUAAACGGCGGUGGUAACUAUAACCAUCCUAAGGUAGCGAAAUUCCUUGUCGGGUAAGUUCCGACCUGCACGAAUGGCGUAACGACUUCUCUGCUGUCUCAACCACAGACUCGGCGAAAUUGCAUUACGAGUAAAGAUGCUCGUUACGCGCGGCAGGACGAAAAGACCCCGGGACCUUCACUACAGCUUGGUAUUGGUGUUCGGUUCGGUUUGUGUAGGAUAGGUGGGAGACUGUGAAGCGGUGACGCCAGUUACCGUGGAGUCGUUGUUGAAAUACCACUCUGAUCGUAUUGGACCUCUAACCUCGGACCCUGAUCGGGUUCAGGGACAGUGCCUGGUGGGUAGUUUAACUGGGGCGGUUGCCUCCCAAAAUGUAACGGAGGCGCCCAAAGGUUCCCUCAGCCUGGUUGGCAAUCAGGUGUCGAGUGCAAGUGCACAAGGGAGCUUGACUGUGAGACCGACAGGUCGAGCAGGGACGAAAGUCGGGACUAGUGAUCCGGCACCGGCAUGUGGAAGCGGUGUCGCUCAACGGAUAAAAGGUACCCCGGGGAUAACAGGCUGAUCUUCCCCAAGAGUCCAUAUCGACGGGAUGGUUUGGCACCUCGAUGUCGGCUCGUCGCAUCCUGGGGCUGGAGUAGGUCCCAAGGGUUGGGCUGUUCGCCCAUUAAAGCGGCACGCGAGCUGGGUUUAGAACGUCGUGAGACAGUUCGGUCUCUAUCCGCCGCGCGCGUUAGAAACUUGAGGAAGGCUGUCCCUAGUACGAGAGGACCGGGACGGACGAACCUCUGGUGUGCCAGUUGUCCCGCCAGGGGCACGGCUGGUUGGCUACGUUCGGAAGGGAUAACCGCUGAAAGCAUCUAAGCGGGAAGCCUGUUCCAAGAUGAGGUUUCUCACCCCCUCGAGGGGGUAAGGCCCCCGGCAGACCACCGGGUUGAUAGGCCGGAACUGGAAGUGCGGCAACGCAUGCAGGUGACCGGUACUAAUAGGCCGAGGACUUACCACG